rnacentral:rRNA from 1 species
GAUGAACGCUGGCGGCGUGCCUAAUACAUGCAAGUCGAGCGAACGGACGAGAAGCUUGUGUCUCUGAUGUUAGCGGCGGACGGGUGAGUAACACGUGGAUAACCUACUUAUAAUACUGGGAUAACUUCGGGAAACCGGAGCUAAUACCGGAUAAUAUUUUGAACCGCAUGGUUCAAAAGUGAAAGACGGUCUUGCUGUCACUUAUAGAUGGAUCCGCGCUGCAUUAGCUAGUUGGUAAGGUAACGGCUUACCAAGGCAACGAUGCAUAGCCGAGCUGAGAGGGUGAUCGGCCACACUGGAACUGAGACACGGUCCAGACUCCUACGGGAGGCAGCAGUAGGGAAUCUUCCGCAAUGGGCGAAAGCCUGACGGAGCAACGCCGCGUGAGUGAUGAAGGUCUUCGGAUCGUAAAACUCUGUUAUUAGGGAAGAACAUAUGUGGAAGUAACUGUGCACAUCGUGACGGUACCUAAUCAGAAAGCCACGGCUAACUACGUG